rnacentral:rRNA from 1 species
UGGGGAAUAUUGGACAAUGGAGGAAACUCUGAUCCAGCAAUUCUGUGUGUGUGAAGAAGGUUUUAUGACUGUAAAACACUUUUAGUAGGGAAGAAAAAAAUGACGGUACCUACAGAAGAAGCAACGGCUAAAUACGUGCCAGCAGCCGCGGUAAUACGUAUGUUGCGAGCGUUAUCCGGAAUUAUUGGGCUUAAAGGGCAUCUAGGCGGUAAGACAAGUUGAAGGUGAAAACCUGUGGCUCAACCAUAGGCUUGCCUACAAAACUGUUGAACUAGAGUACUGGAAAGGUGGGUGGAACUACACGAGUAGAGGUGAAAUUCGUAGAUAUGUGUAGGAAUGCCGAUGAUGAAGAUAACUCACUGGACAGAAACUGACGCUGAAGUGCGAAAGCUAGGGGAGCAAACAGG